CAGUUGUUUCUAUCAUUAUGAGUUGUCCACUUAUACAUUAUUCUUGUUAUUGUAGAUUAAUUGCAUAAUGGCAUCCUCACUAUCAUUACGUGGCAUACUAGAUGCAAACAAAUUGAUCAGAUCAAAUUAUGUGGAAUGAUUGAGAAACUUGAGAAUAAUUCUCACAUAGAAGAAAGUCUCCUAUAUACUGGAUACUCUUGCACCCAA
rnacentral:lncRNA from 1 species